rnacentral:rRNA from 1 species
UACGGGAGGCAGCAGUGAGGAAUAUUGCACAAUGGGGGAAACCCUGAUGCAGCAACGCCGCGUGGAGGAUGACGCAUUUCGGUGUGUAAACUCCUUUUAUAUGUCAAGAAAAUGACGGUAGCAUAUGAAUAAGCACCGGCUAACUCCGUGCCAGCAGCCGCGGUAAUACGGAGGGUGCAAGCGUUAUUCGGAAUCACUGGGCGUAAAGGACGCGUAGGCGGGUUGGAAAGUCAGAUGUGAAAUCCUACAGCUUAACUGUAGAACUGCAUUUGAAACCUCCAAUCUAGAGUAUGGGAGGGGGAGAUGGAAUUAGUGGUGUAGGGGUAAAAUCCGUAGAUAUCACUAGGAAUACCGAAAGCGAAGGCGAUCUCCUGGAACAUAACUGACGCUAAGGCGUGAAAGCGUGGGGAGCAAACAGGAUUAGAU